rnacentral:rRNA from 1 species
UACGUAGGGUGCAAGCGUUGUCCGGAAUUAUUGGGCGUAAAGAGCUCGUAGGCGGUUUGUCGCGUCUGCUGUGAAAACUCGGGGCUUAACUCCGGGCCUGCAGUGGGUACGGGCAGACUAGAGUGCGGUAGGGGAGACUGGAAUUCCUGGUGUAGCGGUGAAAUGCGUAGAUAUCAGGAGGAACACCGGUGGCGAAGGCGGCGUCCUGGACCAACACUGACACUGAUGAGCGAAAGCCAGGGGAGCAAACGGG